GACGAACCGUGCGACCGUUAUUCGGAAUCACUGGGCUUAAAGCGCGUGUAGGCGGGAGGGCACGUCCGUCGCUGAAAUCCCCCGGCUCAACCGGGGAACGGGCGCGGAUACGACCUUCCUGGAGGGGCGUAGGGGGACCUGUAACUUCCGGUGGAGCGGUGAAAUGCGUUGAGAUCGGAAGGAACGCCCGUGGCGAAAGCGAGGUCCUGGACGCCAUCUGACGCUGAGACGCGAAAGCCAGGGGAGCGAACGGG
rnacentral:rRNA from 1 species